rnacentral:rRNA from 1 species
UGGGGAAUAUUGCACAAUGGGCGCAAGCCCGAUGCAGCCAUGCCGCGUGUAUGAAGAAGGCCUUCGGGUUGUAAAGUACUUUCAGUCGGGAGGAAGGUGGUAAGGUUAAUAACCUUAUCAAUUGACGUUACCGACAGAAGAAGCACCGGCUAACUCCGUGCCAGCAGCCGCGGUAAUACGGAGGGUGCAAGCGUUAAUCGGAAUUACUGGGCGUAAAGCGCACGCAGGCGGUUGAUUGAGUCAGAUGUGAAAUCCCCGGGCUUAACCCGGGAAUUACAUCAGAUAAUGGUCAGCUAGAGUCUUGUAGAGGGGGGUAGAAUUCCAUGUGUAGCGGUGAUAUGCGUAGAGAUGUGGAGGAAUACCGGUAGCGAAGACGGCCCUCUGGACAAAGAAUGACGCUAAGGUGCGAAAGAGUGGGGAGCAAACAGG